GGGAGUUAUUGAGUUUAACAGUCACUCCUUACCUGGCUUUUCUCUAAGCUAGAAAGGGGGACUUUUGUUCUAUCAUCUUCUGGGAAUAGACUAAUCUUGAGGAAAGAUUAGGAAAGUCCUGGGUGUGGAGAACUGCCUUGGAUAUCUGUCUUUCCCUGAAGUUCUGAGACCAGUCUGGCUGAGACAACUUUGUUAAGAAUUAGAGAUGAGGAAAACAAUGUCUGAGCAGAAGGUUCUGCCUACCCUGGUUCUCUGACAAAAUCCCUUUACUGUACUUAUUGAGAGAAAGAGCGUGAGAGACAGAUGGAAAGAUGCAGAAAGAAAGAGGUAAAGAUGGAAACAUUAGCAGAACAGAAGUACCAGCUGCAGCAAAAUAGAAGUGUCCUGAGAAGAGAAGAGAUGGCCAAACCAUUAUGACUCAUUUCACAGAACAAGGAUUGAAGCAUAUGGAAAGUAAUUACAUUCAAAAUAUGCUAGAAAGUGAUUUCAUGAAUAAAGAUACAUCCCUCUCUACUCAAACUGACAGGCAGAGGCAAAAGAGCCAAAACAGGUACAGGAAAAGAAAUGUUUGA
rnacentral:lncRNA from 1 species